UACGUAGGGUGCGAGCGUUGUCCGGAAUUACUGGGCGUAAAGAGCCCGUAGGUGGUUUGUCGCGUUGUUCGUGAAAACCGGGGGCUUAACCCUCGGCGUGCGGGCGAUACGGGCAGACUGGAGUACUGCAGGGGAGACUGGAAUUCCUGGUGUAGCGGUGGAAUGCGCAGAUAUCAGGAGGAACACCGGUGGCGAAGGCGGGUCUCUGGAUCGUCUCUGACGCUGAGGCGCGAAAGCGUGGGGAGCAAACAGG
rnacentral:rRNA from 1 species